GACGAACGCUGGCGGCGUGCUUAACACAUGCAAGUCGAACGGUGAAGCGCCUUCCUUGUUGGUGGGUGUGGAUGAGUGGCGAACGGGUGAGUAACACGUGAGUAACCUUCCCCCUUCUUCUGGAUAACCGCAUGAAAGUGUUGCUAAUACGGGAUAUUCUGGGUCUGUCGCAUGAUGGGUCUGGGAAAGAUAUUGUUUCGGUGGGGGAUGGGCUCGCGGCCUAUCAGCUUGUUGGUGGGGUGAUGGCCUACCAAGGCGGUGACGGGUAGCCGGCCUGAGAGGGUGGGCGGUCCUGCUGGGGCUGAAACACCGCGCCGACUCCGGCGGGAGGCAGCAGGGAGGCAUACUGCACAGUGGGCGGCAGGCUGAUGCAGCGCCGCCGCGUGAGGGAUGGAGGCCUUCGGGUUGUGAACCUCUUUCGCGAGUGAAGCAGGGCUGACUUGUUUGUGGGUGUGUUGACGGUAGCUGGACAGGAAGCGCCGGCUAACUACGUG
rnacentral:rRNA from 1 species